rnacentral:rRNA from 1 species
CGUAGUAGGCGGACCGGGACCGGCCGACGGGUACGGCGUAACGACGUAUAGCAACCUAACCUCGUACAGGGAGGUAACACUGAGAAAUCGGUACUAAUACCGCAUAACACUGUGAGAGGCAUCUCUUGUGGUUGAAAGUUUCGGCGGUUACAGAUGGGCAUGCGUUGUAUUAGCUGGUUGGUAAGGUAACGGCUUACCAAGGCGACGAUACAUAGGGGGACUGAGAGGUUAACCCCCCACAUUGGUACUGAGACACGGACCAAACUCCUACGGAAGGCAGCAG